UAAGGAAUAUUGGUCAAUGGAGGCAACUCUGAACCAGCCAUGCCGCGUGAAGGCUUAAGGCCCUCUGGGUUGUAAACUUCUUUUAUAUGGGAAGAAAUGUACUUUUUCUAAAGUGCUUGACGGUACCCUAGGAAUAAGCACCGGCUAACUCCGUGCCAGCAGCCGCGGUAAUACGGAGGGUGCAAGCGUUAUCCGGAUUUACUGGGUUUAAAGGGUGCGUAGGCGGAUGAAUAAGUCAGUGGUGAAAUCUCCGAGCUUAACUCGGAAACUGCCGUUGAUACUAUUUGUCUUGAAUAUUGUGGAGGUAAGCGGAAUAUGUCAUGUAGCGGUGAAAUGCUUAGAUAUGACAUAGAACACAAAUUGCGAAGGCAGCUUGCUACACAAUCAUUGACGCUGAGGCACGAAAGCGUGGGGAUCAAACA
rnacentral:rRNA from 1 species